CUUACCAGCUUCCGACAUAAUCUUCACAAGGUCUUUUGCUUUUGUUCUUGGGUUGAUAAGCACAUGUUGGACCAAAGCACGUUAAUCUCUGGGACACAGAACCCGUCUCCUUCCUGAGCGGUAUGAUGGCUGGACAUUCCCAUCUUAGAUGGGCCAAAUGAUUCUCAUCUGACGACACAUU